rnacentral:pre_miRNA from 1 species
UUCUUAUUGGAUGAUGACGAUCACGAGUCAUGUUCUGAUUGGUCAAUGAAAAUAAUAAUGCAUUUUAUCUUUCAUGGAGUUGACAUCCAAUCAGAAUAUGACACGUGACAAUCAUCAUCC